rnacentral:piRNA from 1 species
UUGGAGAGGUGCAGGCAUUAGAGCUC